AAUGAACGCUGGCGGCAUGCCUAACACAUGCAAGUCGAACGAGACCUUCGGGUCUAGUGUCGCAUGGGUGCGUAACGCGUGGGAAUCUGCCCUUCGGUUGGGAAUAACUGAGAGAAAUGUCAGCUAAUACCUUAUAAUGUCUUCGGACCAAAGAUUUAUCGCAGAGGGUGGAGCCCGCGUAGGAUUAGGUAGUGGGGGGGGUAAUGGCCUCCCAAGCCGAGGAUCCUUAGCUGGUCUGAGAGGAUGGUCAGCGACCCUGGGAGUGAGACACGGCCCGGAAUCUUACGCGAGGGAGCAAAGGGUGAUAUUGCAAAGCCGGGGAAGGGAUGAUGCACUAAUGAUGGGAAAGUGAUGAAGGCAUUGGGGUUGUAAAGCUCUUUUACCCGGGAUGAUAAUGACGGUACCGGAAGAAUAAGCUCCGGCUAACUACGUG
rnacentral:rRNA from 1 species